rnacentral:rRNA from 1 species
ACUCCUACGGGAGGCAGCAGUAGGGAAUCUUCCACAAUGGGCGCAAGCCUGAUGGAGCAACACCGCGUGAGUGAAGAAGGGUUUCGGCUCGUAAAGCUCUGUUGUUAAAGAAGAACACGUAUGAGAGUAACUGUUCAUACGUUGACGGUAUUUAACCAGAAAGUCACGGCUAACUACGUACCAGCAGCCGCGGUAAUACGUAGGUGGCAAGCGUUAUCCGGAUUUAUUGGGGCGUAAAGAGAGUGCAGGCGGUUUUCUAAGUCUGAUGUGAAAGCCUUCGGCUUAACCGGAGAAGUGCAUCGGAAACUGGAUAACUUGAGUGCAGAAGAGGGUAGUGGAACUCCAUGUGUAGCGGUGGAAUGCGUAGAUAUAUGGAAGAACACCAGUGGCGAAGGCGGCUACCUGGUCUGCAACUGACGCUGAGACUCGAAAGCAUGGGUAGCGAACAGGAUUAGAUACCCUGGUAGGAUAGCG